AACGAACGCUGGCGGCAGGCCUAACACAUGCAAGUCGAGCGAAGCCUUCGGGCUUAGCGGCGGACGGGUGAGUAACGCGUGGGAACGUGCCCUUUGGUACGGAAUAGCCCCGGGAAACUGGGAGUAAUACCGUAUGUGGUCGAGAGACGAAAGAUUUAUCGACAAAGGAUCGGCCCGCGUUGGAUUAGGUAGUUGGUGGGGUAAUGGCGUACCAAGCCGACGAUCGAUAGCUGGUUUGAGAGGAUGAUCAGCCACACUGGGAGUGAGACACGGCCCAGACUCCUACGGGAGGCAAGAGUGGGGAAUCUUAGACAGUGGAGGAAAGCCUGAUCUAGCCAUGCGGCGUGAUCGAUGAAGGCCUUAGGAUUGUAAAGAUCGUUAAGUAGGGAGGAUAAUGACUGUGCCCACAGAAGAAGCCCCGACUAACUCCGUGCCAGCCGCCGCCGUAACAC
rnacentral:rRNA from 1 species